rnacentral:rRNA from 1 species
UACGUAGGGUGCAAGCGUUAAUCGGAAUUACUGGGCGUAAAGCGUGCGCAGGCGGUUAUGUAAGACAGGUGUGAAAUCCCAGGGCUUAACCUUGGAACUGCAUUUGUGACUGCAUAGCUAGAGUACGGUAGAGGGGGAUGGAAUUCCGCGUGUAGCAGUGAAAUGCGUAGAUAUGCGGAGGAACACCGAUGGCGAAGGCAAUCCCCUGG